rnacentral:sRNA from 1 species
AUCUAAACACUUAACAAUUCAAAAAUCUUACCGAAUUUUCAAUCAAAUUCAUCCACCAAACCCACCCAUUAAAAAUGUCUCCCUGCAACUGCAACUGCUGCUCUGGCGACUGCAACUCCUGCAACUGCAGCAGCUGCUCUGUGAGUUGAUAUAAAAA